GAUGAACGCUGGCGGCGUGCCUAAUACAUGCAAGUCGAGCGAACAGAUGAGGAGCUUGCUCCUCUGACGUUAGCGGCGGACGGGUGAGUAACACGUGGAUAACCUACCUAUAAGACUGGGAUAACUUCGGGAAACCGGAGCUAAUACCGGAUAAUAUAUUGAACCGCAUGGUUCAAUAGUGAAAGACGGUUUUGCUGUCACUUAUAGAUGGAUCCGCGCCGCAUUAGCUAGUUGGUAAGGUAACGGCUUACCAAGGCAACGAUGCGUAGCCGACCUGAGAGGGGGAUCGGCCACACUGGAACUGAGACACGGUCCAGACUCCUACGGGAGGCAGCAGUAGGGAAUCUUCCGCAAUGGGCGAAAGCCUGACGGAGCAACGCCGCGUGAGUGAUGAAGGUCUUCGGAUCGUAAAACUCUGUUAUUAGGGAAGAACAAAUGUGUAAGUAACUAUGCACGUCUUGACGGUACCUAAUCAGAAAACCACGGCUAACUACGU
rnacentral:rRNA from 1 species